AAAAACCUCAGAGCAAACGAAUCCGAUACUAAAGGCGAAAAAAUGUCAGCCAUGGAGUCACUGAUUCUUCAGCUCCACGAGAUCGGCGCCGUAAAGUUCGGCAAUUUCAAGCUCAAAUCCGGAAUCUACUCUCCAGUUUACAUCGACCUCCGUCUCAUCGUCUCAUAUCCUUCCCUCUUAACGCAGAUCUCUCAGACUCUCAUCUCAUCUCUUCCACCUUCCGCCUCCUUCGACGUCGUCUGUGGCGUACCUUACACUGCUCUCCCCAUCGCCACCGUCGUCUCUGUCUCCAAUGGCAUCCCUAUGCUCAUGCGCCGUAAGGAGAUCAAAGACUACGGCACAUCCAAAGCAAUCGAAGGAAUCUUC
rnacentral:lncRNA from 1 species